ACUGCAGUCAUUCCCUAAAUGUCAAAAAUGCCCUCAUCAUCACCGUAGACAAAGGUUUAGAGUAUGAAAAUAUGAUGAUAAAACAUGGUUAAAACUGUAAAACGAUGAUAAGAAUGUCCAAGAAUCUGGUAUAUCGAUCAAAGGCCAGGCCUCGAUCCUCUGUCUCGGCAUGGAUUUCUUUGUUCGUGGUUGGUUCUGGUUUUUUUGGGAAAAAUAAGAUAUGGCAACUUGCAUGUGCCUAGUUACGUGAAAUGAUGGGCUUGAUGCUUUUGAGAGAGGGCACACAAUGAAGAUAUUAAGGUAUGCUACCCUCUCAUCAAUCUUCUUUAUAUGCCCUCCACUGUUGGAGGUCCACGCCCUCAAUAGGAGGUCAAAAACUCAUUUUUAGUUUUUUUUUUCCCUCCUCCUUCGAUUUCAAAUACUUAGGGUAUGUUUGAAAUUACUGUUAAAGCAACGGGUUGGAAAAAUACUUUUUUGAAAAUAUUAAAUAAUUUUGAUAUAAUUAUCAAAACUAAUAAAAAUGCUUUUUUACAAAACAUUUUUCUCAAAGCAUCUAAAAUAGUGCUUUUCAUAAAAAUAUCUUCAAUUCAAUAAUUUAAAAUUUUUAAAAAGUGUGGAAAUUAUUUCUAUUUAAUUAACAUUAAAGUCAAAGUCAAAAAUUUUCUUCUCUUUCACUUAAUUACUCUAAUUCAGUUGAAUUAUUUAUCAAAAAGUGACUUCUUAAGAAACAAUAUACUUAAACCAAACAAAGCGUUAAUGUUAAAUUCUUUUUAAAUGAUUAUUAUUAUUUUUUUUCAAUAAGCUUGUUUGUGGUUGAAAAUGAACUUUUCAUUUUAGCCAUAGGGAAUCCAUUGAUGAUGAUGGCAUUUUGUUCCCUUAAUUUCUUUCAUCUCACGAAAACUAUUUUUUUUUUUU